rnacentral:tRNA from 1 species
ACUAAUCUGGCAGAUUAAUGCGAUAGACUUAGAAUCUAUUUAUGGGAUAUAUUUCUCGGUUAGUA